UGCUUCUUGAACCCACAUAAGAAGUAAUUCCUGCCCAGUGACUCACGUUCAACGGCCGCGGUAUCCUAACCGUGCAAAGGUAGCAUAAUCACUUGCCCAUUAAUUGUGGGCUAGAAUGAAAGGACCAACGAAAUAAAAACUGUCUCUAUAAGUUCAAUAAAAAUUAAUCUCUAACUGAAGACUGUUAGAUACCGUUGAAGGACAAGAAGACCCUAUAGAGCUUCACUUUAAUAAAAAACAAUAUUUUAAUAAAGUUCGGUUGGGGCGACCGGGGAAAACUCUCAAUCAUCCCCUACAUAAAGAUCAAUUAAUCUCAUCUAUGACCCUUAACUAAGAUCACCAGAAUAAGCUACCUUAGGGAUAACAGGCUAAUCUCACUAAAGAGUCCUUAUCAAUAGUGGGGGUUGGCACCUCGAUGUUGGCUUAGGGAAUCUAUAUGGCGCAAAAGUCAUAUAAAGAUGGUUUGUUCAACCAAUAAUACCCU
rnacentral:rRNA from 1 species